CUUCUCCUUCUUCUUCUUCAUCAUCUAUAUGCUCAUCCAUGUGCUUUUUGUUCUGUUCACUGUAAACCCCAGGGCCACAGGCAUGCCAGGCAAGCAAGAGCUAAUAACCCACAAUCUGCCUAAGUCAAUAGAUUAUGAUGCAGGAAGAUAAGGUUAGGAAACACCUUAUCUGGUUGCUAUUGGAGCCAGAAACAAGGAGCAGAAGAUGACAUCCUGCAGGCUGAGUAACAGCAAUGAACCAAAAUGGCUGUAGAAAAUCUAGAUGAAGCAGAGUAUGAGGUUCAGAUGUGGGGGCUGAAGGAACAGAAUUAUCAACCGUGUCCCUCUUCUCAGCAUUGAUGGUAUCUAUGGGAAAAUGGAGGGCUGUUGGGAGAGGCAUGGAGAUGAAGAGACUGUGAGAAACACUUUCAGCUACUUCCCCAAAGUUAAGUACCUCUUAGGAUGCUUGAACAGCAGAGAACAAAGGUAAACCAUGCUGGGAAAUAACUGGAGUCUGGAUGCUUCUGUGAUCCUUAGAAUGAAGUGAGGUGAGACCUCUGUGACUUCACAGGGUUGCUGCCCUAGCAACAGCAGUGCUCUUAACCUCAGGGUAACUCAGAGUCCACAAGAAGGGCUGGGAUACACAGCAAGCCCAUGAGUCUGGUUCCACCCUCUACCCAUCGACUCUGAUUGGAGCUGCCCAUAUAUGGGUUUAGGGCCAUCCACCUGAGCAUGGUAGACAAACACCCUUACAGAAAACAGACUCCUUCAGCAGAAGUCAUCAAUGACCCACAGAUCUACAGUGAGUGAUUGGGGCAUGUGAGCCCCUUGCUACUCUGUACUGGAAUGUUGACUGGCUUGUUCUUGUACAAGUCUUAAGUAGGUAGCCACAGCUGCUGUGAGUUCCUGAGUCUGGUCAUGUCCAGAAGGCACUGUUUCACCAUGAUCCUCUCUGGCUCUUAUAAUCUCUCUGUUCUCCUUUUACAGUGGACCCUGAUCACAGGGAAGGGGAUGGUACAAAUGUACACUGGCAUGCAUUCUCUGCAUUUUGACCAAUUGAUUCUUUAGCACCUUUGUUCACUCUCCACUGUGCAAAGAAACUUGCCUGCCAAGGUCUGAAUGCUACACAGAUCUGAGGAUAUAAAGAAAAGUCUAGAUAAAAAGUCGCUGCUACCUGCUUCUGUGUGUGACUUUCACCACCAACAAAGCCAGUUCUCUGUCUGUUGAGGAACAAAAUAGAAGACCUCAGAAAUAUUUCGGUUCAUUUCAUUGGAAAUUCCAUUGUUCAAAACUUUUUUCAUCCAACUUUCUCAUGCAAGAAGAGGUAGAAAUUUUGUUUCAUCUCUUUAUUUUAUAUUGCACUCUUUGUUGUGAAAAUUCUACAUAAAAAAUGAUAUGGGGUUGGAAAGGUGACUUCGUGGUUAAAAGCACUGGCUGCUCUUACAGAGGACCCAAGUUCCAUUCCCAGCACCCACAAUUCACAGUCACCUGUAACUCUAGCUGCAGGGGAUUCAAUGCUCCCUUCAGGACCCUGUGGACACCACACACAUGAGGCACACAUUCAAACACACAAAGAUAAUAAGAAAGAAAACUUAAAGGAGAGUCCAGAAAGUGAGAACUCUGAGGUUUUUGAGGCCCUGUCAUUGACAACCACCCGCAAUCCACUGCUGUGCUGCACAUGUGUGAUGAGGAUCUUGUGUCUACAGAUAGCUGGGAUCCCAAGUUCCAGCAGAUUGCCACAAGACUUGGUUGGUUGUGAAUCGGAGAACUCAUCUGAAUGUAAUUUUGGAGGAAGAAUGAAAAACAAAUGUAACUGUGGAGUUUCUAUGCUUGAUGUAUACAGCAAGCUCCCUUCAAGGCCCAUGCUUACCUGGUGUGAAGUAUUGUUAUUUCUACUUCAUGCUUUGGAUAAAAAGGAGAAAUGAAAGAAAACAAUCUUGUCAGAAGAGACAAAUAAAUAGCUUUCGAAGGACAAAGUACUCCAUAUACGGCAAAUAAAAAGAAAAUCCCAAAUGUCCCAAACUUGGAAACUACUUUGUUUCAUGCUCUGGAGUUAAAUAGAUGAAACACUCUGCAGACGAUAAGGACUAGGCUUCUCAGUGUUAGGUAUAGAAUUCACAAAUAAGGAAAAGGAGAGAACUGAAAAUAUCCCAUGGCACUGAACACAAAAAGUAAAAUAGACACCCACACAUCUGAUAGACACAGAUGCCUGAACAGGAAACCCUAGGGGGAGAAGUGUGGACUCUUUUCUGCAGAGGAAUUACAAUGAAAGACAAAAAGUGCACUCACCAUUAAAGCAGCACAGGAAGACAGGGGCAAUAGCUGUUACUUCUGAACCGACAGAGAGCUAAUGGCCCAUCACUGGUCUCAUAAUUUGUAAAUAGUUGUUCCUUCCUCAUCUGCCUAAGGCAAUCUAGAAUUGUAUCUGGUUGGCUUUAAUAAAGAGCUGGACAGGAAGUCGAAGGUAGAGCUUCCAGGCAGAGUUGGGAAAAGAACUGAGAGUUAAGGGAUUCAUCAGCAGACUUGGAGGUGGCCCACCUCCAAGCAGAAAGGUAGACCUGGCCACUCAGCAAGACAUAGGACAGGAUUACUCAGGAUAGACUAGUUAGAAAACCACCAGCAAAGGCCUAAGCUUUAAAAUAUUAACUCUCUGUGUCAUUCUUUAUAUCACUGUUGGGUCUGAGAAAGUCCCACUGUAGAGAGGGACCCCAUACUCAGCCCCAGUGUGUCUGCUCCCCGAUAGGAUAAUGGGGCCAAUAAGCAGUGCAGAAGCAGAGCAGGUAUCCCUUUUGAAAACUGGUUUCUUAACAAUAUCAGAUGGAAGCCACAUGCCUGUGUUCAGAGGCUGGGAAGAUGAUUCAAUGGGUAAAGAGAUGAGUAUCCAAGUUCAAACAUCAGCAUCCUGUAAAAGGCUAGCUGCAACAUCUGUAACCCCAAGUGUAUACAGCAUGGAGAGAACCAGAUCCCUGGAGCUCACUGGACAGACAGAUGAGUGGAAUCCAGAAGCCCAGGUUCACUGAGAGACUGUGUCUCAAAACUAAAGUGGAGAGUAACUGAGGACACACAACAUGGACCUCUAGCCUCCAGGGGAUCAUAUAUACAACACAUGCAUACAUACACACACAUCCUUAUAGAGAAAAUAGGAAAGAGGCUAUGUCAUGAGCUGGGCACCCUCUAUGACACUCCCUUGAACUUAGACUAUCUUUGCAUCUUAUUGUACACAUGAGUCCACUGUCAAUUCUUUUUCCUGACUCUGGCCCCAUAAUGGAGGAAUCAGCCUUUGUGCUAAAGCCUUUCCUUUUCAAUUAUCUCCAAAACAAAAUAAAAGUCAGAACGUUAUCCUGUCUGAGGAGAUUUUACGAUUCUUACUUAUAACAUGGGCUGAACUGAUCUUAAUGAUUGUGUUACUCACUGAUAACAGAUGGUGAGGGACCUCGCUGAAUACUAAAAUUAUGGAGGAAAAUAAGGUCUCCUCCCCCAAGCCAAGAGCCCAGAAAGGAGGUAGCUACUUUUGGCCUGCUGUUGGUCAGUCCCUGUGUGACUCUGGGCCAAUUACUAGCACUGCUUCCUUACUCUGAGAACACACACUGUAGAGCUUUCUGGAGAGACUAACGGGGAAGUGGCAACUUGAAUUCUGUGGAGGGGGAUCAAGGAGAGACAAAGGCUCAUGCAGUCCUCACUGUGUGCACUUCCAGGCAUAUGUGAACAUGGAUGCUUCUUCUUGUCUCUCAUAUUUAUAACUUCAAAGCAUCUUACAACUGUCUUCGGACUGAAUAGCUCAACAGCAACCCAGUUAUCGACAAAGAAACCCACACAGAGAAGUAAAGAACUCAGUUAUCUUCUGCUUUGUGCUAGCCCCAUUGACAGGAACUAGGAGCAUAUGUAUUAGUGAAUAGAUUAAGUGUGACCUCUGCCCUUAUGAUGGUCAGUGUGUGUGGUAGAUGUAGAUUACGUUCUUAUUCUUGUGGUCCACAGAACACACCUUUAUAUCUCUUACAAACUCAUUACCCUUGGCAAUGUGCAGUGGUAGGCAGGAAAGGUUUGCAGUGUUGGGGUAUCUGCACAGCAGAGGGAAGGUACAGAAGGAAUGUGUGGGAGUAGCUAAGACAAAACCCACAAAGGUGAAGUAAACAAACAAGGACCAUCAUGAACUGGGCACUUUCUUGCACUUGCUGACUCUCCCGUGCAUGAAGAAAUCAUCACGAGUGAAGCAUGUAGCUUCCAAAGCCACAUUGGGCAAGAGAAGUUCGGGGAUCUGGGCAAUGUGGAGCUAAGAUAGAUGUGUUGUGCUGGCAGUCACCUGAACACGGAAAGAAGAGACAUUAGGCUCCCCAACACAUGUGCUGUGCAGUUACAAACACGUACAUGGAAAUAAAUCUUAA
rnacentral:sRNA from 1 species